CGAACGCUUUGUCUUUAAUUGAUCUGACGAGCUUGCUCUGAAGUGAUUCUAUCUGACAAAGAGUGGCGAACGGGUGAGUAACACGUGGGUAACCUACCUCUUAGCAGGGGAUAACAUUUGGAAACAAGUGCUAAUACCGUAUAAUACCAACAACCGCAUGGUUGUUGGUUGAAAGAUGGUUCUGCUAUCACUAAGAGAUGGACCCGCGGUGCAUUAGCUAGUUGGUAAGGUAACGGCUUACCAAGGCAAUGAUGCAUAGCCGAGUUGAGAGACUGAUCGGCCACAAUGGGACUGAGACACGGCCCAUACUCCUACGGGAGGCAGCAGUAGGGAAUCUUCCACAAUGGGCGCAAGCCUGAUGGAGCAACGCCGCGUGUGUGAUGAAGGGUUUCGGCUCGUAAAACACUGUUAUAAGAGAAGAACGGCACUGAGAGUAACUGUUCAGUGUGUGACGGUAUCUUACCAGAAAGGAACGGCUAAAUACGUGCCAGCAGCCGCGGUAAUACGUAUGUUCCAAGCGUUAUCCGGAUUUAUUGGGCGUAAAGCGAGCGCAGACGGUUAUUUAAGUCUGAAGUGAAAGCCCUCAGCUCAACUGAGGAAUGGCUUUGGAAACUGGAUGACUUGAGUGCAGUAGAGGAAAGUGGAACUCCAUGUGUAGCGGUGAAAUGCGUAGAUAUAUGGAAGAACACCAGUGGCGAAGGCGGCUUUCUGGACUGUAACUGACGUUGAGGCUCGAAAGUGUGGGUAGCAAACAGGAUUAGAUACCCUGGUAGUCCACACCGUAAACGAUGAGUGCUAGAUGUUCGAGGGUUUCCGCCCUUGAGUGUCGCA
rnacentral:rRNA from 1 species